rnacentral:rRNA from 1 species
CCCUUAGAUGUCCUGGGCCGCACGCGCGUUACACUGAUGCAUUCAACGAGCUUAUAACCUUGGCCGAGAGGCCUGGGCAAUCUUGUUAACGUGCAUCGUGAUAGGGAUAGAUUAUUGAAAUUAUUAAUCUUGAACGAGGAAUUCCUAGUAAACGCAGAUCAUCAAUCUGCAUUGAUUACGUCCCUGCCCUUUGUACACACCGCCCGUCGCACCUACCGAUUGGAUGGUCCGGUGAAGCCUCGGGAUUGUGGUUCUUGCCGCUUUAUUGUGGCGUGACCGCGAGACCUUGUCUAAACCUUAUCAUCUAGAGGAAGGUGAAGUCGUAACA